CAGUAGCCGCGGUAAUACAGAGGGUGCAAGCGUUAAUCGGAAUUACUGGGCGUAAAGCGUGCGUAGGUGGUGGUUUAAGUCCGUUGUGAAAGCCCUGGGCUCAACCUGGGAAUUGCAGUGGAUACUGGGUCACUAGAGUGUGGUAGAGGAUAGUGGAAUUUCCGGUGUAGCAGUGAAAUGCGUAGAGAUCGGAAGGAACAUCUGUGGCGAAGGCGACUAUCUGGGCCAACACUGACACUGAGGCACGAAAGCGUGGGGAGCAAACAGGAUUAGAUACCCCAGUAGUCCCUGUCUCUUAUAC
rnacentral:rRNA from 1 species